rnacentral:rRNA from 1 species
UACGGGGGGAGCAAGCGUUGUUCGGAAUUACUGGGCGUAAAGGGUGCGUAGGCGGUUCGUUAAGUCUGUCGUGAAAUCCCCGGGCUCAACCUGGGAAUGGCGAUGGAUACUGGCGAGCUAGAGUGUGUCAGAGGAUGGUGGAAUUCCCGGUGUAGCGGUGAAAUGCGUAGAGAUCGGGAGGAACAUCAGUGGCGAAGGCGGCCAUCUGGGACAACACUGACGCUGAAGCACGAAAGCGUGGGGAGCAAACAGG